AUUGAACGCUGGCGGCAGGCCUAACACCUGCAAGUCGAACGAGUGGCGGACGGGUGAGUAAUGUCUGGGAAACUGCCUGAUAGAGGGGGAUAACUACUGGAAACGGUGGCUAAUACCGCAUACUAUCGGAUGUACCCAUAUGGGAUUAGCUAGUAGGUGGGGUAACGGCUCACCUAGGCGACGAUCCCUAGCUGGUCUGAGAGGAUGACCAGCCACACUGGGACUGAGACACGGCCCAGACUCCUACGGGAGGCAGCAGUGGGGAAUAGUGCACAAUGGGCGCAAGCCUGAUGCAGCCAUGCCGCGUGUAUGAAGAAGGCCUUCGGGUUGUAAAGUACUUUCAGCGGGGAGGCGUUACCCGCAGAAGAAGCACCGGCUAACUCCGUACCAGCAGCCGCGGUAAUUC
rnacentral:rRNA from 1 species